ACGGGAGGCAGCAGUCGGGAAUAUUGCGCAAUGGGGGAAACUCUGACGCAGUGACGCCGCGUAUAGGAAGAAGGUUUUCGGAUUGUAAACUAUUUUAGACAGGGAAGACAAUGACAGUACCUGUAGAAUAAGCUCCGGCUAACUACGUGCCAGCAGCCGCGGUAAUACGUAGGGAGCAAGCGUUAUCCGGAUUUAUUGGGUGUAAAGGGUGCAUAGACGGGAAAUCAAGUUAGUUGUGAAAGCCCUCGGCUCAACUGAGGAACUGCAACUAAAACUAAUUUUCUUGAGUGCAGGAGAGGAAAGCGGAAUUCCUAGUGUAGCGGUGAAAUGCGUAGAUAUUAGGAGGAACACCAGUGGCGAAGGCGGCUUUCUGGACUGUAACUGACGUUGAGGCACGAAAGUGUGGGGAGCAAACAGGAUUAGAUACCCUGGUA
rnacentral:rRNA from 1 species